rnacentral:rRNA from 1 species
CUGGGUCCACCUCCCACCCGUGUUUAUUGUACCUUGUUGCUUCGGUGAGCCCGCCUCACGGCCGCCGGGGGGCUUCUGCCCCCGGGCCCGCGCUCACCGAAGACACCAUUGAACUCUGUCUGAAGAUUGCAGUCUGAGCAUAAACUAAAUAAGUUAAAACUUUCAACAACGGAUCUCUUGGUUCCGGCAUCGAUGAAGAACGCAGCGAAAUGCGAUAACUAAUGUGAAUUGCAGAAUUCAGUGAAUCAUCGAGUCUUUGAACGCACAUUGCGCCCCCUGGUAUUCCGGGGGGCAUGCCUGUCCGAGCGUCAUUGCUGCCCUCAAGCACGGCUUGGUGUUGGGCUCCGUCCCCCCGGGGACGGGCCCGAAAGGCAGCGGCGGCACCGAGUCCGGUCCUCGAGCGUAUGGGGCUUUGUCACCCGCUCUGUAGGCCCGGCCGGCGCUAGCCGACAACCCAUCAUCCUUUUCAGGUUGACCUCGGAUCAGGUAGGGAUACCCGCUGAACUUAAGCAUAUCAAUAGGCCGGGAGGAAUCAUUACUGAGUGAGGGCCCUCUGGGUCCAACCUCCACCCGUGUUUAUGUACCUGUUGCUUGGUGAGCCCGCCUCAGGCCGCCGGGGGGGCUUCUGCCCCGGGCC